rnacentral:tRNA from 1 species
GGGCUCGUCGUCUAGAGGAAGGACAGUACCCUUCUAAGGUUCUAACGUAGGUUCGAUUCCUACCGAGCUCA